AAGGAAUUGAAGAAAAUAACCAUAAUCAACUGGCUACUGGAAAGCCAAUUACAUCCAAUAUUUUCUUAACAUCAAAGGUUAAACAUAGUUCUAGAAAACAGUGGGAAGAGAAUCCGAGAAGCAGUUUUAGCUUGGCUCCUCUGCAGUCUUGUUACAGGUAGUUAGGUAGGCGUGAGCAGGGCAGGAGACGGCUUCCCAUCCCACCCCAACUAGAAAUGUCGGUGACGGUUUGGCAUUGUCUCUCUAAAAAGUGUAAUUCCGCAACCAGGGAGAGACAAUCUCCUGAUGGUCCACACCUGUUAACAUUAAAAGUUGUUAACUGAAUACAGACUCCAGGGAGAAACAGCUUCCCGGGAAUGCACAUUAAAACACAAAAAAUGGCUAAGUAUGAUCUUCCGGUUCCAUGCCACCGGGGAAAAAGGAAGAAAUCCUCAGAUGGGCAUGCGUACAACUCCCUAAACACACUGCGCAUGCUCAGUUCCUAAGGGUAAAGAGGGCUCCGCGCAUGCAGGAAGACCACCCUAAGGGAAGAAUCAUGGGAAAGAGGCAGAAAAUUAAAACUGGAUUGCUACCUGGUGCUUCCAUACACUGAAAAGAAAGAACACUCCAAUCUGCCAGCCUUACGAUGUUGGGAAAACGCAUCAAACAGUGCUAAGGUUUUAAGCAUGGAGAAUAUAAUCCAGUUGUAAAGCUAUUAACCCAGAAAAGAUGUCACAUGAAAGUCUGUAAAUAUGAACCACACUCUACUGCCCAGUGAUGGAGAAACCUACUGACUGUGGUGCGCAGAUUCCUAAGACGCCCUCAUGGUAUCCAUGUCCGCAUCAUCUCCUCCCCCUUGAGAGUGGGCUGAACCUGUGACUGGCCUCUAACCAACAGGCUAUCGUGAAGGUGAGUACUUUAAAAGAGGGCCUGGAGGAGAGAGACCCUUCCUGCUGUCUUUGAAGCAGCAAGCCUCCAUCAGUUCUGCAGCUACAAGAAAAUGAGUUCUGCCAACAACCAAGUGAGCACUGAAGAGGACCCUGAGCAUCAGAGGACAGCCUAGCCCUGGCCAAUGCCUUCAUUGCAGCACUGUGAGACCCGAACAAAAGAUCCAGCUAAUGCAUGUUCAGAAUUCUGAUUCCAGGAAACUGUGGAAUAAUAAAUGCUCCUAUGUUAAGCUGCUAAGUGUGUGGUAAUGUUUUUACUCAGCAAUAGAAAACUACUGCUGGAUGGGCGCGGUGGCUUGUGCCUGUAAUCCCAGCACUUUGGGAGACCGAGGCACAUGGAUCACUUGAGGUCAAAAGUUCAAAACUAGCCUGGCCAACAUCGUGAAACCCCAUCUCUACUAAAAAUAGAAAAAUUAGCCAGGCAUGGUGGCACAUGCCUGUAAUCCUAGCUAC
rnacentral:lncRNA from 1 species